rnacentral:rRNA from 1 species
AACGAACGCUGGCGGCAGGCCUAACACAUGCCAGUCGAACGAAGUCUUCGGACUUAGUGGCGCACGGGUGAGUAACAUGUGGGAAUAUACCUUACGCUGGGGGAUAACAUCGGGAAACUGAUGCUAAUACCGCAUACGCCCUUCGGGGGAAAGAUUUAUCGGCGAAAGAUUAGCCCGCGUCCGAUUAGCUAGUUGGUGAGGUAAUGGCUCACCAAGGCUCCGAUCGGUAGCUGGUCUGAGAGGAUGACCAGCCACACUGGGACUGAGACACGGCCCAGACUCCUACGGGAGGCAGCAGUGGGGAAUAUUGGACAAUGGGCGCAAGCCUGAUCCAGCCAUGCCGCGUGAGUGAUGAAGGCCUUAGGGUUGUAAAGCUCUUUCACCCACGACGAUGAUGACGGUAGUGGGAGAAGAAGCCCCGGCUAACUUCGUG